UACUUCAACAAGGACGCUUGGAAGUUUCACAUGUCAGAUUCUGUAAAGUCGAAUCAAGUAAGUAAAAAUGGAAACUGUUAUAUCUCUUAUACGUUUGUCUUUGCUAUCGUAUCGUUUGACUACUGUCUUAAACCGCCAUGGAGCACCUCCUAUCAUCGAACACUCCCUACCUCAUCUUAAAUCUGGUAAGUAUUUAUACAAUUUUUUUUUAAUUUUUCCCCUUUAUAUCCUAAUUUUUUCCAAUCGUUGGUAAACGAAUGUUGCCCAAAUGCAAAACCUUAGUAGAAGAGAGAAAUCAAGGAUUUUAUAUCAGGAAACAACUAUGAAAGAUAGGAAAUACCAAUCAAAUGAGAAACAGUCUGCUGCAAAGGAGCUUCUUGAAAAGGCAUUGUGCCCUUUAAUUAAUAAGUGGUAUAUUGGAAACAUGAAUAGUGAAGUCAACGUAGAUCCAGAAAAUGACAGAUACUUUUUUUUCACAAAAUAUAGAUAGAAACUCAAGUUGUCAUCCCAUUAUAAAAACAGUGUUAUUUCGUUGAGUUGUGAGUUGUUCUUUUGAAUAUUACGUAUUUGGUUCUUCUAAUGUUGUGAUAUUAGUCAUCAUAAAGGAUGGGACAGUGAGAAAGUAAUGUUUUCGGUUCACCCCUCUAGGAUUGAUAUGAUUCAGUUUCAUUUAUGUUAGGUUUGUGUGAAUCAUUACAUCCGUCACUUAUCUGCACUUUUUGGGCCCUCAACUCUCCCUCCUUCAUCUUUUGCAGUUGCAGCCCCUUUUUUGGAUUGUGUUUGUGGCGUUUUGAGAAGAAAUAGAAGAAAACCAUGGCAGGAGCUGAUUGUGCUCGAUAUCAAAGGCCGUGUUCGCGUCCGGCGUGACUACCACGGCGAUGUGUCCGUCGCGCAAGCCGAGCGCUUCUUCUCCAAGCUCUCAGGGCCUGGAAAUAUCUUAAGGCAGCAACAUGUUGCAAGUCUCUGGUUGUUGUCUACAAUGGUAUGUGCCUUAUGCAAAUCGGGAUGGUUGCUAGAUAAGCUGAUCAAAGGAUCGAUGUAAGAAGGCGUAAUGAAAUCUAAAGCAUGUAAGUAGUACCAAUUUCCAGUUUAUAUUUCUGCGAAAAUAUGCAUUUAUCUAACAUGAACAAAAAAAUUGGUUGUUUUGUCAAAAGGUUAUUUGGCCAGUAUUUCUCUUUAUAUCAUGGGAGAUCAGAGCUACCUUUUCUACAUGCAAAUACACAGGUCUGUUGAGGAUUGAGUGCUAUACUUCAUAGGUUGUAGAAUCAAUGACACUUUGUGGACUGUGUGACAAGAUAUAUUAGUUUUCUCUCUGCUAGGUUGUGAUUUUGCAGCCGCUUGGUGAUAAGGGAAUCACACGUAUUGGUUGAAACAUGAUUAGAUGCUUCACGUCUUCAGACCAGGUAAGAAAAACUCACACUUCUUUAUAUUGUUUGUAGCUUAGAAAUACUAAUAAGAUAAUUAAAAGAGUUGGUUUGCUCAUUAUGUCUAGGCUUACGUAGGCUUACAUUCCUUCAAUUGAAAGAAGCUGGUUGCGGGGAGGUGUUGUAUUGGUUCAGCUUAUAUUUCCCAAGAAACAGAUUGCAGUGAGUACCCAGCCCCGUAAAGCAGAGAAAAUUCAUCACAUGCGUCGUCGCGUCGAUCAGUUCAAAGAACUUAUGAAAGCGUGAUCAUGUGGUUUAAACACAGAGUGGAAAUGUAAAAAUUGCUCAAGAAAUCAUGAACUAAACACUUAUAUAUCAGCGCCGAGUUCUUUUUUCAAUAUAAACCAGUCAUCUUCUUCACAGGAUAAACUUCAAACUUCGAAGUGUUGUCUUAAUGUAGACAUGUGUUUCGUUUAUGGGUGUCAUUUUAAAUGAUCGUUCGAGAGACUAACAAAUCAGUGGAAAUUACACUGAAUGAUGUCUCUAGACUGGAGGACAAAAAAUUGCUUCUCAUAGAGGUUUGUAUUAUUUUCAGUUUUGAGCUUCUAGAUGUAGAUUUAUUGAUGCUCGCAUAAUCUUUGACUCACAGUUUUAGAAAAGCUUGUGAUGUGUGAUUAUUAUGAUUUAAGCGUAUGGAAAAAAAGAGAAGAUUUCUCAUCAUACCCUUACUAUUAGCACACAUGUUUUUAUCUUGAUAGGUUUGCAAUUAGUUCGUAGGGAUUUCACAAAUAUGUUCGAAUGCUACUUUCUUUUGGCAAUAUCUAUUUGGGCCACUUGACCAAAUUUCUUCUCUCUUCGUUUGAUGGAACUUGAGGAAAGUAAAAACAGCCUAAGCUUAUGAAGCUAAUUGAUGAGGCAUAUCAAAUACAUGUUCAAAAGACCAGGAGGAUAGGAGUUCACAAAUGUUAUUUUUUGCAGAAAAAGAGAGUGGAUGGAGCUAGAGAAAGUUAACUUCAUGAUGCAGGGUCCACAAAAAAACUAAAAUACAUAGAAAAAAAAUGUUAUAAGUUAGGAAUUUUUUAGUACCUUUUUGCCAAAAAAGUCUUUUAGUAGGUAUGAUUAGUUAUCUCUUUCAAUACAUCAAUUUAAUAAUUUAAAUAUUUUCAUUACAGUUUAAAAUAUUUUAUAUUAUAUAAAUAUAUUAAGAAAAUAGCGAUGUAGAUGAUUUAUGCAACUGAAGGUAUGGUUUUGACAACAAGACGAAUUGAAAUACCUGAAAUGAAGUUUGCAUAGGUUCAUUUGUUACCCUAUAGCACAAAUGUUCAUUUACAAUAUAUACAUUAAAUGUUAUGUCAUAAACUUAACAAACAUUCAGCGCGAAUAAAACGUAACCACUAUCACUACUAUCAUUAACCACAUACGAAUCUGGCGCGCAGCGCCGGAAUACCACUAGUAGAAGAUAUAACAAAUUCACUUAAUGAUCCUAAGACCCAUCAUAGUUCUUUAAAGAUCUUUGCUUUGAUUUGUGUCGCCUUAAUGACUCCGUCUUCGCUUGCAUGAGAGGAAGAUAGCGCUUUGGGAUCAUCAGCAUUAUUAAACACAUAUUUUUUGACGAAAUAAAGAAUAUGGAAAAACAGGUGGACAAUAACAAUUUUAUGAUGUGUAUGAAUAAAAUGUUUUGAUUGGUACUUCAAUUUUUUCAUUAAUUGAGAUAGUAACUUCUCAAUGUUUUAAAAAGCUGAUGUACCUAUUGAGUCUUUUUUUUUUGGAUCUGCGGGUCUCGGUUCGGGUCCGGAUCCUACCUGAGACUCGUUCGGGUAUCCGAAGUACCCGCAAAUAAUUAUAUAUACUAGGUAUAUUUAGGUAAUUGGGUAUAUUUUUGGUAUUUCGGAUUUUUUUAAAAGUUUCGGAUUUGGAUUUUCGGGUAUAAUUGUAGGUUUUUGGUGAAAUUUUAGAUUUUUAGAAAAUAUAAUCUGGGUAUUCGGAUAAAUUUCGGGUAUGUUUUGGGUUUUCGGGUCUGAUUUUUGAUAAAUUUUUGGGUAUUUUUGCGGCUCUUCGGGUAUUUUUAGAGUUUUUGGGUCCAGUUCGGGUACUUCGGGUCUAUUUCGGGUCCUAAAUACCCGAACCGACCCGGAUCCGAAAUAUACCCAAAAAUUUUGGGUAUUUUACGGGUAUUGAAAUUAUAGACCCGGACCCGACAAGAUCUGACCCGGAACCGACCCGAAAAGUUAUAGGUACCUAUACGGGUCUAAAUUGCUAGGAUCCGAAGGACCCGGAUCCGACAAUACCCGACCCGAACCCGAUCCGAAGACCCGGAUGCCCAGGCCUAGUAUAGGUUUUUCAAACAUUUUUGAUUCUGAUAAUAUUUUUAUGUAUUCAAGUACCCGUUCGGUUCUCGGUAGAGUAUUGGUUCAGUUCAGUUAUUAUAGAUAGAGAAAUAUAAGAACUGUUUGAGAGUAUUUGAGGUUUUGAUGUGGUUCUGAUUUCGGUUAGGUUUCGUUUAUUUUGCCCAGGCCUUAAUUACUACUGAGGUGUGUUUGAAAUGCUGUGAUGUUAUGUAUGUUUAGGUCAGAACUGUGUGAUACAAAGUCUUCACUGUUGGCUUACUUAAAGAAUGAACAUAUAUGUGGACGGCCUUUGGGUCUUCGGUUCCACAAGAGAACUGGAGAUUUGUACAUUGCGGAUGCGUAUUUUGGGAUAAUGAAAGUCGGUCCUGAAGGAGGUUUGGCGACGUCACUUACAACCGAGGCAGAUGGAGUGCCUUUGAGAUUUACCAAUGAUCUUGACGUUGAUGAGGAAGGGAAUGUCUACUUUACAGACAGCAGCUCUGUUUUCCAACGAAGGUAUGUAAAGGUUCUAUGACUAAGUUUCAUUUAUUAUCAGUAUCAAAAGAGGGGAGUAAAAUAAAAUAAUCUGUAUGGCUUCGAACCUACCACCACUAGAAUGAGAAAAGAAUCUGAGACCACUACACUUCAUGGACUUAAGAAGUCUAAUGCCCUUAUAUAUAAGGAAUAGAAUACCCUUAUAAUAUAAAGAAUAGGAAUAUGGCGCCUAAAACCCUUGCUCCUGCCUAAAAUGCAAUCAUAAAUCUAAAUACUUUACAUGGUGAUAAGGCUCCUGAAGCCCUUGGUGGUAGGAAUUAUCUACUAGAGUAGUAAAUGUCAUGCGGUGUGUGUCAUAGUAGAUGGACAGCCAAAUGUCAUGACGAUUCAUCUCUAAACUCAUACUCAUACUGCAGUAGAGUAAAAGCAAGACCUCUCGUUUAUCAACAACCAAACCGAGAAAAAUAGUACACCAAAUUGUUGGAGUGAGUUCGAAGUUAGCUUGAGAAACAAGCUAUCAUAAUCCUAUCGAGUUAUGGCAAUCUAAAAGAAUUAGGAAGUAAUGAAAAGUGUUAUUACUAAUAGGAUUAGGAGUUUUCUAGUCUUAUAUAAGAAGAUGCAUAUGAUGUUUGCAUAUUGUGAUUUGUGUGAGUGAUUUGAGAGCUUAAGGUUUUUGAGCACUAUUUCCUUUAAAAGAUAAAUAAGAGAGUUAUACUUAUUAACACAGUUCUUGUUCGUGAGUCAUUAAGUUUGUGCUGAGAUCGUGAAAUUAUAUUUGAUAUCAGAGACAUGUUCUGGAGGAUCGUCUUGGUUGAUCUUCUUCAUGGUGGCUAUGGUUAUCAUUCUCUUCAUCAUUAGUUAUUUCAUGAACAUCAUCGCCUAUAUCAGUCUCGUUCUGACCUUCUUGAGUUUCAGUGCCUUCAAUUACUGAUCUCAUAUUGAUCACAAAACUCCCACCAUCUACAUCCUGGGUCGUCAUAUCUUUGUUCUAGUUACAGCCUUUGUCUUCGUCGAGUACAACAUCAAGACUAACUACUAUCCUUUUGCUGACUGGUUCGAGUAGCCGGUAGGCUUUCGAACAGGGAUCAGUCCCCAAGUGAACUAAGAGCUUGGACCUGUCGUCGAGUUUCUUUCUUCCUACUGUGUGUGUCUUGGCAUAGCAGAUGCACCCGAAGAUUCUCAGAUGUGAGAGGUCUGGUUUCUUGCUUCAUAGGACCUCAUACUGUGUCCUCCCGACCAAAGAUCUUGUCGUAAUUCUGUGUCUCACAGCUUCAUCCCAAAGUUCAUUCGGUACGUUUUUAUGCUUCAAAAUAUUCCUGGUCAUCUCGAGAAGCGUUCGAUUACGUCUUUCAACAACACCAUUCUGCUGAGAAGAAUAUGGUGCUGUCGUGUGUUUGUUAACACCGGUUUCGUCACAAAAUAUUUGAAAUUCUCGUGACAUGAAUUCCCCACCUCUGCCUGACCUAAAAGUCUUCAAUGUCGAUGUUGUUUCUUUCUCAGCUAACAUCUUAAACCGUCGAAAUUUAUCAAAAGCUUCACUCUUUUCUUUCAACAGUAUGGUCCACAUGUAACGUGAAUGAUCAUCGAUAAGCACAAAUACGUAUCUCUUAUGUGCCGGUGUAGAUGGUGUGAUGGGUCCGCAGGGAUCACCGUGAACGAGCUCAAGAGCACGAGAGGCUCGGUAUGUAGUAGCUUGUGGGAAUGGCUUUCUCGUUUGUUUUCCAAGCAUGCAUGACAUACAUGUUUCUUUAUCGGUGACAAUGGUUGGUAUGCCAGUUACAAGUUCCUUGCUGAUCAUCUUUUUUAUCGUCUCAGUGUUCAUAUGGCCGAGCCGUGCAUGCCACUUGAAGGUUUCAUUCGAUGACGUGAUUUGCAAGCAUUCGUGAUUCUCGAUGUGCAGAGUGAUCUUGUAAAGUCUGUUCCUCGACCGAGUAGUUUUAACCAUCAGAGUACCGAAACGAUCGUAUAACAUUAGAAGAUCAUCUUUCAUCCGUACUUCACAUCCUACCUCGGUGGCUUGGCCCAAACAAACUAUAUUACUCUUCAAUCCUAGUAUGUAAUACACAUUGUGCAAGAUCCUUUUCUCACCUCCUUUGAAUACAAACUUGAUCGAGCCUUUUUCCUUCAUAUCAAUGCGGGAAUCAUCUCCAAACCUCAUUUUCCGGUGAUUGACUCGUCAAGCUUCACUUAGAACAUUCGACUUCCACUCAUAUGGUUGCUGGCUCUAUUGUCAAGAUAUCAAAUAUUUGAUGUGUCAAGAUCUGUAUCGAAAACACUUGGAUACACCUUCUUUUCAUUGAGAUAGACUACCUCAUGCAUCAUAAAUUCAUCAGCUUCCUGUGUAUCUUUGGUCUUCUUUUCGACUGUUUCUUGAAGCUUGAGCAAUCUAUCUGGACAUUCUGAUGUAUAAUGACCAAAUUUAUCACAUCGAAAGCAUGCGAUGUGAGAAGUGUCUCGUACCAGACCUUGACCUUGUUUAUACGCAUCUCGUUGGGCUUGGAAGUUUCCAAACCUGCUACGGCCUCUUCGACGAAAUUCCGACGAAUUUUUUUUUCCCGACGAAACGAUACCGACGGACGGGUUCGUCAGAAAUUCGUCGGAAUCGGUCUAUUCCGACGAAUUUCCGACGAUUUUGGCCAUCAGAAUCCCCCUGUUUUCUUGUAGUGAACUGAAUAAACAAAAUUCAGUAUUCGGUCUAGCUGAAUUUGAAAUCGGCCCAAUCAAGUUGAAGUAGGCAUAAAUUCAGACCGACUUGAAAGAAAAAGGAAAGAAUCUAUAACUAUAAAGUUGAAGUAUCUGCCUUUUUAGACUGUCCACGUCACUCUGGAGAGGGGGGGCUUUGUUGCCACGUCAUCAGUUUCUCCUGAAAAAAAACCGGACUUUGUUCUCUUCCUUUCUAAACAAAACGCAAAACUUCGCUGUCUUAUUAAAUCGCACUAUGCUGGACUAUUGGGUUUAGUUAUUAUUUUAGAAAAGCCCAUAUAGCUUUUGUGACAUUCUUCCUCAGGAUUGCUUAUCGUGACCCAGAGGGAUGAUUGAAGAUUCCCUUCUUCGGCUUUCAACGGCGACGGCGAGUAACGCUUUCUUUAGACACCUGGCAACUCCUCCUGAAUCUUCAGCUCACUUGAGAUCAAUACCAAAAUGUAUUCACAUGCCUUUCCAAUGUCCUCUACCUGAUAUAAAAACGUAUUCAUAUGCCCUCUAAGAUCCGAAUCAUGCCUCAAUUCUAUGACGAUUCUGUAGAUCAUCUCCCUCAGAUUCAGUCGACGAUCUCUGGAAAUAGGUGCUUGGAGCUUUCGGCUCUUAUGGAUUGAAACUAACCGUUCGAUUUGUAGCGAUGGUUCUCGGUUUGGUUUCGGAGAGCUUUGGAGGAGAUUCCGAGACAUCAAUCAAAGUCAAUCAAAGCUUUUCACCAUACAAUCUACUUACGUGAUUUACUUCAACAAGGACGCUUGGAAGUUUCACAUGUCAGAUUCUGUAAAGUCGAAUCAAGUAAGUAAAAAUGGAAACUGUUAUGUCUCUUAUACGUUUUUCUUUGCUAUCGUAUCGUUUGACUACUGUCUUAAACCGCCAUGGAGCACCUCCUAUCAUCGAACACUCUCUACCUCAUCUUAAAUCUGGUAAGUUUUUAUACAAUUUUUUUUAAUUUUUCCCCUUUAUAUCCUACUUUUUCUAAUCGUUGGUAAACGAAUGUUGCCCA
rnacentral:lncRNA from 1 species